rfam:Maribacter arcticus strain DSM 23546 genome assembly, contig: LX93DRAFT_scaffold00009.9
AUUAAAGAGGAAGGAUUUGUCUGAUUGCAACCUCGGGGCCUUAAGCUAGUUUUAAGGAUAAAAAUGCUAAAGCAGUUUAU